AGUGAACGCUGGCGGUAGGCCUAACACAUGCAAGUCGAACGGCAGCACAGUAAGAGCUUGCUCUUACGGGUGGCGAGUGGCGGACGGGUGGGGAAUACAUCGGAAUCUACUUUUUCGUGGGGGAUAACGUAGGGAAACUUACGCUAAUACCGCAUACGACCUACGGGGGAAAGCAGGGGAUCUUCGGACCUUGCGCGAUUGAAUGAGCCGAUGUCGGAUUAGCUAGUUGGCGGGGUAAAGGCCCAGCAAGGCGACGAUCCGUAGCUGGUCUGUGAGGAGGAUCCGCCACACUGGAACUGACACCCGCUCCAGACCCCUACGGGGGGCAGCAGUGGGGAAUAUUGGAGAAUGGGCGCAAGCCUGAUCCAGCCAGACCGCGUGGGUGAAGAAGGCCUUCGGGUUGUAAAGCCCUUUUGUUGGGAAAGAAAAUCAGCAGGUUAAUACCCCGCUGUUCUGACGGUACCCAAAGAAUAAGCACCGGCUAACUUCG
rnacentral:rRNA from 1 species